UACGAAGGGGGCUAGCGUUGCUCGGAAUUACUGGGCGUAAAGGGAGCGUAGGCGGACAGUUUAGUCAGAGGUGAAAGCCCAGGGCUCAACCUUGGAAUUGCCUUUGAUACUGACUGUCUUGAGUAUGGGAGAGGUUAGCGGAACUCCGGGUGUAGAGGUGAAAUUCGUAGAUAUUCGGAAGAACACCAGUGGCGAAGGCGGCUAACUGGCCCAUUACUGACGCUGAGGCUCGAAAGCGUGGGGAGCAAACAGG
rnacentral:rRNA from 1 species